rnacentral:misc_RNA from 1 species
GGGGGGGAGGGAUCGAGCUCUCAAGCCCAGGCAGAUACAGAUACAAAUUUAUGGAUAUAUAAAUAGAGACGUUUGGAUUAGGUUUCGAAGAUUAGGGUUUUGGAGGAAAAAUAAAGAAAAAAUAAGGACUGUUUGGGUUUUGAAUUAGGGUUUUCAAGAAAUUAGUUGUAUAGAGUUUGCUAUGUUGAGUAGCCCUUGUGUUUUCUCUCCUAUUUUUGGAUUGUGUUGAAAUUUGGUGUGCCCUAAUGUGACUGAAGCUGUUGCCGGGUGAGGUGUCAGGGGUUCAAUGGGCAGCACCGGGGAACCAGACCGAAAACGGCGUCACUUCAGCUCCAUAUCACCUACGGCUGCCAUGGCUAGGAAGCAGCCUUUCUCGCACUCAUCUGAGGACAAGAAGCUUGAUACUGCUGUUCUUCAAUUUCAAAAUCAAAAGCUUGUACAGAAGUUAGAAGCUCAAAAGGUUGAGUAUUCCGCAUUAGAGAAUAAGUUCUCACAAUUAAAGGAGAAACAACUGCCUUACAAUUCCACAUUGAAAUCUGUCCAUAAGUCUUGGGAACUGCUAGUUACUGACUUGGAAGCAUGCUCCACCUGCACAAGAGAGUCUAGCAUUGGGCAAGAAAUUAGAUGCUUAUCAAUUACUGAUGAUGGAGUUUCAUCUUCGUUUGAGGAAGCUUUUCGUAGCCGGCUUGUAGAAACUGGUGCAACUGAAACUUCCUCUGCAAAUGAUUGCCUCAAUUCAAUGGAAGAAGAUAAAGGAAAUGCUUCUGAAAAAAUUAAGAAUAUUUUAAGUAAUAUAGUGGCUGCAAUCAAUGACCUUUGCCGACUAAAGGAUGGAUUGCAUGCAAUUGUUUUGAAUAAAAUUUCGGAGCAUGGUGCAGGUACGCAAAAGGAAUCUUGUGAGUUGGUGGCAGAGGUUAAAAACUUGAGAUUAGCACUAAGUGACCUCCAUCUCAAGCACAAAUCUCUUGCAAGGGAAUUGCAGAGCUGUAGAGACAUUGAUGCAAAAAGUAAAGCUGAGCUUAAGCAAUUAAAAGGGGAACUGGAGAGUGCUGUUUCUGAUUUAGAAGAGAGUAAUUUGAAACUGGCAACUCUUAAAGCAGAAAGAGAUGCAACAAAAGGGACAUUUUUCCCUGUCUUAAACCUUGGAAGUAAGCCUGUUCCUGGUGAUAGAGCUAGAGAUAAACAAAAGAAUUUGCAAGAGAUGGAGUCUGCUCUCAAAGAGCUUCUAGAUCAAGCUUCUUCCCGACUGCUGGAAUUGAAAGGUCUUCACGAUGAAAGGAUAAAAAUAUUGCAAAAGUUAUCCAAUUUGCAGAACUCAUUGAAGAAUGUGAAGCAUAUUUCUUCUUCGCAAGUCUACCUUUUGGUGAAAGAUCAAGUAGAAAAAUCAAAAUCAGAAGUUUUCCAGUAUCAGGCCUUAUAUGAGAAACUACAGGUUGAGAGGGAUAACCUUGUCUGGAGGGAGAAGGAAUUGAACAUGAAAAAUGAUUUGGUUGAUGUUUUUCGAAGAUCGUCUGCAGUUGUGGAUUCUAGAAUUGCUGAUUUAGGGAUAGGGAUACAGAGACAGAUCAGUGAGAGAAAUAUGAUCAAGGCUAAGCUGGAAGAGGCAUCAGGAGAACCUGGAAGAAAAGAAAUUAUUGCUGAAUUCAAAGCCUUGGUUUCCUCAUUCCCUGAGGAAAUGGGAAAUAUGCAACGUCAAUUGAGUACUUACAAAGAGGCUGCUUCUGAUAUUCAUUAUUUGCGGGCUGAUGUGCAGUCUCUUUCUACUGUUCUUGACAGGAAGGUAAAAGAGUGUGAAAAUUUGUCAACGAGAUCCAAAAACCAAGUUGCUGAGAUACAAAAGUUGCAAUCUGUGCAUGGGGUGUCAAAUUUGAACUGAACUGCAUUGCUGUUUAGCAAGGUUGCAUAUGUACUGGCGGGCCCAUUUUCUCAUUGGUCAAUGGAUUGGGUUUUGAUGCUCACCUCUACUUUCCUAGCGUGUGUUCUGCAAAAUUCUGUAUCCCUUUAUGUUUUGAGAAAGAUGACCACAUUUCCUGUUCCUCUUUUGUUGGAAUAUUGCUUAUCUUUUAAGAGAUAUUGGAUUAUUGGUAUCUUUUAGUUUACUGGGCUGACAGCUGCUGAGAUAACUGCCUUGUUAGGGCCUGUUUGGCAUUGUUGUUUGAGCUGCUAGUGAGAAAAGACCACCUUAAAUAUGUUAUUUAGAGGCUAUUAAAAAUUGGUUUUAAGUUGAAUUUGACGUGUCUUUUUUUUUUUUCAUAAGAACGAACAAUUAAACAACUUUUUCAAAUUGCUUUUUCCAUUAUCAUCAAGGUGCUUUUCCAAAAAGCAGGUUAGAACCACAAUGUCAAAUAGUCUCUUAAAAUGACAAAUAUUGUGAGGUGACAAGUUAAUAGGGAACUUUUCCUUUCAUAUAGCAGGUCCUGCAUCUAUUUUUCUUGGGAUAUAAUUUACAGAGUUUUGGUUCAUAAAUUUACUUUUUCUUUGGUUGCAGGUCCAAGAACUGAAGGAAAGUGAUCUGGAGUUGAAACUGAUUCUGGAAAUGUAUAGAUUUGAAUCCACUGAUUCUAGGGAUGUCAUGGAAGCCAAGGAUCUUGAAUACAAGGCAUGGGCUCAAGUUCAAAGUUUGAAAUCCUUUCUUGAUGAGCAAAAUUUAGAAUUACGAGUUAAGAAAGCAAACGAAGCUGAGGCCAUAUCCCAGCAGAGGCUCGCCACGACAGAAGCCGACAUUGCUGAUCUGAGACAGAGAUUGGAAGCUUCCAAAAGGGACAUUUCUAGACUUUCUGAUGUUCUGAAAUCCAAAAAUGAGGAAAAUGAGGCCUACUUAUCUGAAAUAGAGAUAAUUGGACAAGCAUAUGAUGACAUGCAAACUCAAAACCAGCAUCUGUUGCAGCAAAUCACAGAAAGGGAUGACUAUAAUAUUAAGCUUGUUUUGGAAGGUGUGAGGGCAAGACAGCUGCGGGAUUCUCUACUCAUGGACAAACGAACCAUGGAAAGGGAGAUUCAACAAGCAAAUAUUUCUCUUGAUUUCUAUAAUGUGAAAGCGGCAAGAAUUGAAGAUCAGUUAAAAAUUUGUUUUGACCAGGUUCAUAAACUUAAAGAAGAGAAGUUUCAAAACUCAAGUACAUUGGAAAAUACCCAAAAGCGAUUGGUAGAUGUGAGAAAAUCAUCUAAUCAAGCAAGAGAGUCACUGGAGGACUCACAAUCCAAGGUUGGAAGAAGUCGAGCAGCCCUUUUGGAACUGCAGAUAGAACUAGAGAGAGAGAGGUUUGAUAAGAGAAGAAUAGAAGAGGAAUUGGAAGUAGCAAGGAGAAAGGUUUCACGUCUUCGAGCGCAGACUGAGGGAUCAUCAAUUGUAGAAAAACUUCAGCAGGAACUUAAAGAAUACAGGGAAAUUGUGAAGUGCAGUAUCUGCCUUGAAAGACCUAAAGAGGUUGUCAUUACAAAAUGCUACCACUUGUUCUGCAAUCCAUGUGUGCAAAGAAUUAUGGGAAGCCGUCACCGGAAGUGUCCAGCGUGUGCCACAAGUUUUGGGCCUAAUGACGUGAAGCCUGUUUAUAUCUGAGAUAGAAAAUGGCUGAUGUGGAUAAGUUGUCCUGGGCUGCUUGUUUAUGAGACUCAGUUCUCAAAUUUGGGCUCGCUCUUGCCUGUGUGCCUUGAUCAAAGGCAUGAGCUAUGGAUCCCACAGGUUCAUGUUUAUUGUCAUGUUAGAAAAUUGUUGAGUGAAGAACGAUGACAAGAUACAGUGCUGCUCCUGUCUAAUUAUCAAUCCUUUGAAUUCAUCUUAGAUUGAGUCUAGGUUGUGAUUUUGCCUAGUUUCUUGAUUUCAUUGUGUUUACGAUUCUUGUUUUUUGGUUCAACUGCUUAGAGCCACUGGAAUCUUUCAAUCUAUUAUUUGCAGAUGUUCAGAAUCGAUGAAAUGCUAUUUACCCAAGGCAUUGGAGGUUGUGCAACCCAUAAGAAUGGCAAGUGAUGUUCUAAGCUUCUAUAAUGGCAUCUUGGCGCACUGCGUUGGGUAUUUGAUGCCAGUUUUUCUCCAUCCAUAGACAGUGUUAACCAAAUUUUUGGCUGUACAGGUUUUUAGUAAAUACAUUGGAUUUUUCAGAAACAUGUCUUCCUGGUUUACAAACUAGUGGUAUUUAUAAUAAUAGUUUGUGUAAGAUGUUCUUAGCAUUACUUCAGAUUUUAUGUACAAGCCUUUCAAAUUUUAGAGCGAUUUAUUUAAUUAUUUUUUGCAAUAAUUAUUUUCUACUAGGUAAUUUCCUUACAUUUGUUUUAAGUGAAUUAAAGAAUACCUUUAUCGUCAAGCCCGCCGUUCCUGAUUUCAUGUUCAGUUUUCAAGUCGGGCAAGAGGCAGAGUUGGAAUAAUGUGGAUGCGUGUUGUAGAACAAAAUGUCAAAGUGCAUACUCUUAAAUCUGAUUUGAUUUGAUUUGUGUUAUUUUAUUGUUUCUCAUUAUUUUUCCUUUCCAUGUAGGGCCUGAUCUCGUAGCCACCGUGACCAUGGCUGAUUUCUUAUGGAAGUUUUGUAAGCCACGUGUCAUUAAACAUGCUUCCAAAAGGAAUCAUUGCAUUUCCAUUGUCCCCUCUGUUCUCAUUUAUUUGGAUUUACCCUAUCUUAAG